UUCUUUGUGCAGUGGCAGUAUCGUAACCAAAGAGCUCAAUCUGAGGCAUGAUUAUUGCUAAUAGAAAACUUUCCCCAAUACCCUGCCAUGAUGACUCGUUAUCUCCGUAUGUGCUAGACCUUGUCCAUACAUAUGG
ensembl:snRNA U4 U4 spliceosomal RNA